CAUAAAAAUUGUGAAAAAUUUUUGAUUUUAUUUAGAAAUUUAGGUAAUUUUAAAAAAAGUAGUAGAUUUACUACUAUUUUAAAAACUCCCUUUUUGAUAUUUUUUCUAAAAAAUCUUUCAAAAUUACCUAAUAUUAGUGAUUGUGAGAAGAUUUAACUUUAAAUGAAACUAUUUUAAAAAAAGUAGUAGAUUUACUACUAUUUUAAAAAUUCGUUUUUUAUACUUUUUUCUUUAAAAAGAAAAGAAUUCUUUGGCAAACUUGGAAAAACUUUAUGAAAAUUCACAAUUUUAAUAUGAAAUUUUAGUUGACUUAAAAAAUAGUAGUAGAUAUACUACUAUUUAGAAACAUUAUUUUGAAUACUUUUUCUAUAAAAUAACUCAAAAAUACUUAAUAAUUGUGUUUUUAAUAUAGUUUUAAAGAGAAUAAACUAAAAUUGAGAUUAUUUAAAAAAAGUAGUAGAUUUACUACUAUUUUAAAAACUCCUUUUUUUGGUAUUUUUUCUAAAAAAAAAUCUUUCAAAAUUACCUUAUAUUAGUGAUUUCGAGAAGAGUUAACUUUAAAUGAAACUAUUUAAAAAAGUAGUAAAUUUACUACUAUUUAAAAAAAGUAGUAGAUUUACUACUAUUUUAAAAAGUUUUUUAAAAAUGAUUUCUUAACAAAUUUAUGGCUUCAGUGGACAAUAUUUAAGGAAAAUUAUCAUUUUCAUGCAUAAAUUUGUAUGAAUAGAAAAAGUAGUAGAAAUACUACUAUUUUUAACUCUUAUACAAAUACUUGUACGAGGUUCUACUUUAAAACAUUUGCUUUGCAAAACAUUUGUUAGAAAAUUUAGUAAAAAUCCUACGUUUUUUAUUACUUUUUAUUUGAUUAAAUAGCUUUUAGUUGACAACACUGUUAAAGAGAGCUUUUAUGCAAUACUAAUUGGACUUUUAUCAUUUGGCAAAUAAAUAUGACUUAAUAACUUCUUUCCCUUUUAUUCCCAAUCGUUUUUUUUUUGUUUCUACUAAACUUUUCUUAAAACUUUUUUUAAAUAAAAUUUUUGUUAAAAAUUUAUGAUUUAUUUAAGUAAAUUUUAGUUGUUAUUGUAAUGCAAUUGCCAACUUGUAAUGGGAGCCUGUUUGUAUGCAACAUUUUAACUAUUUGAAUAAAAUUGUGAAUAAAAAAGAAAAUCUAAUGAAAACUCAACGAAAAA